UGAAAAGCCACUAGGAAAUUCCCAAUCAUUUUUUGAUUUAAUGCUAACUGAAAAUAAUCUCGUCCUCAGAUUAUCACAGUAGGAUGUCAAGGGAGAGGACAUUUAUCCUGGACAUCCGACAUAAAUCCCUGUUCCUUGUGCGAUACCUGGGUCUCAUGGAAAGUACAGUUCCUUUAUCACUCGCUUCAGAGUGGAAAACUGAAAAGGCAGGAAUCUCUCAGAGGGGAAAAUCGAUGCUGUUACAAUGGAUUCUCACAGCAACAGGGGCAUGGCAAAGUAGCUCUGGCAUUGGAAGGAACCUUGGCAGUGCUGAACAAUCAGAUAAAGCACUUUUUACUUGCAAGCCAGUUGAAGCAGGCCUCCAAACAGACCAGUGCACGGGUGUGUUCUAUUCCUUUUAAAUAUCAACUCUUAU
rnacentral:lncRNA from 12 species